UCCACUGUUGUAGGACCUACAAUGUCACGG
rnacentral:piRNA from 1 species